rnacentral:rRNA from 1 species
GACGAACGCUGGCGGCGUGCUUAACACAUGCAAGUCGAACGGAAAGGCCCUGCUUUUGUGGGGUGCUCGAGUGGCGAACGGGUGAGUAACACGUGAGUAACCUGCCCUUGACUUUGGGAUAACUUCAGGAAACUGGGGCUAAUACCGGAUAGGAGCUCCUGCUGCAUGGUGGGGGUUGGAAAGUUUCGGCGGUUGGGGAUGGACUCGCGGCUUAUCAGCCUGUUGGUGGGGUAGUGGCUUACCAAGGCUUUGACGGGUAGCCGGCCUGAGAGGGUGACCGGCCACAUUGGGACUGAGAUACGGCCCAGACUCCUACGGGAGGCAACAGUGGGGAAUAUUGCACAAUGGGCGGAAGCCGGAUGCAGAAACGCCGGGUGCGGGAUGACGGCCUUCGGGUGGUAAACCGCUUUCGCCUGUGACGAAGCGUGAGUGACGGUAAUGGGUAAAGAAGCACCGGCUAACUACGU